rnacentral:rRNA from 1 species
UACCGUAAGGUAGGCAAACGCAGGGAACUGAAACAUCUAAGUACCUGCAGGAGAAGAAAACAAACGUGAUUCCCCCAGUAGCGGCGAGCGACCGGGGAUAAGCCCAAACCGUUAUUGUUUCGGCAGUAGCGGGGUAGUAGGACUGCGACAUUGAUGAAAUAAAUGAAAUGGAACACCUUGGAAAAUGUGAUCACAGAGGGUGAUAAUCCCGUACAUGUAAGUUUAUGAAUCAUAGCAGACUCCUGAGUAAGUCGGGACACGUGUAAUCCUGACCGAAUCCGCCGGGACCAUCCGGCAAGGCUAAAUACUCCUGAGAGACCGAUAGUGAACCAGUACCGUGAGGGAAAGGUGAAAAGCACUUCGAACAGAAGAGUGAAAUAGUCCCUGAACCCAUACGCCUACAAGCAGUCGGAGCCGCUUCGUGCGGUGACGGCGUGCCUUUUGCAUAAUGAGCCUACGAGUUACUCAUCACCAGCGAGGUUAAGUACUUCAGGUACGUAAGCCGAAGCGAAAGCGAGUCUGAAUAGGGCGUCAAGUUGGUGGUGGUAGACGCGAAACCUUAGUGAUCUACCCAUGGGCAGGGUGAAGGUUUGGUAACACAAACUGGAGGCCCGAACCGGUAAACGUUGAAAAGUUUUCGGAUGACCUGUGGGUAGGGGUGAAAGGCCAAUCAAACUUGGAGAUAGCUCGUACUCCCCGAAAUGCAUUUAGGUGCAGCCUCUGUUGUUUUGUUCUAGAGGUAGAGCUACUGAUUGGAUGCGAGGGCUUCACCGCCUAUCAAAUCCGGCCAAACUCCGAAUGCUAGAACAUGAAGACAGGGAGUGAGCCAGCGGGUGCUAAGGUCCGUUGACGAAAGAGGGAGAACUCAGACCAUCAGCUAAGGUCCCCAAUUAUAUGCUAAGUUGGAAUUAAAACGGGGUGGGACUGCUUAGACAGCUAGGAUGUUGGCUUGGAAGCAGCCAUUCAUUUAAAGAGUGCGUAACAGCUCACUAGUCGAGCGGUCCUGCAUGGAUAAUACGCGGGCAUAAGCAUAUAACCGAAGCUAUGGGAUUGUAGAUGAUACAAUCGGUAGGAGAGCAUUCCAUUCAGCAUAGAAGCAGUACCGUGAGGUAUUGUGGAGCGGAUGGAAAAGCAAAUGUAGGCAUAAGUAACGAUAAUGCGGGUGAGAACCCCGCACGCCGAAAGAUCAAGGAUUCCCCGGCAAUGUCAAUCAUCCGGGGGUAAGUCGGAUCCUAAGGGUAAGCCGAGUGGCGAUCCCGAUGGCAAACAGGUUAAUAUUCCUGUACUGAUCAUAACUGCGAUGCAGCGACGCAGAGGUGACACUGCUGCGUACUGACGGAAUAGUACGUUGAAACCCGUAUUCUUUGAUACCGGUAGUGAAGCACGCCGGUAGAGAUGAAAGGUGAUAGUACCGCAAUGCUUCGGUUGCGCGGAUAACGCAGGUAAGCUGACUGCCAAGAAAACCUGCUAAGCUUCAGGUAAUGAUCAUCCGUACUGUAAACGGACACACGUGAUCAGGUAGAAAAUACUAAGGCGCUCGAGAGAUUCAUGGUUAAGGAACUAGGCAAAAUGGUCCUGUAACUUCGGGAUAAAGGACGCUCUUGUGAAAGAGCCGCAGAUAAUAGGCCCAGGCGACUGUUUACCAAAAACACAUGGCUAUGCUAAUUCGCAAGAAGAUGUAUAUGGCCUGACACCUGCCCGGUGCCGGAAGGUUAAGAGGAGAGCUCAGAGGUAACUCGAAGGUUUGAAUUGAAGCCCCGGUAAACGGCGGCCGUAACUAUAACGGUCCUAAGGUAGCGAAAUUCCUUGUCGGGUAAGUUCCGACCUGCACGAAUGGUGUAACGAUCUGGGUACUGUCUCAACCAUGAGCUCGGUGAAAUUGUAGUUCCGGUGAAGAUGCCGGAUACCCGCAACGGGACGGAAAGACCCCGUGAACCUUUACUGCAGCUUUGCAUUGAUUUUGGGUAACAGAUGUGUAGGAUAGGUCGGAGGCUUUGAUGCUGCGUCGUCAGGCGUAGAGUAGCCGUCGUUGAAAUACGACCCUUUUGUUAUCUGAGGUCUAAUCCCGUUAGGGAGACAUUGCUUGGUGGGUAGUUUGACUGGGGUGGUCGCCUCCAAAAGUGUAACGGAGGCUUCUCAAGGUACCCUCAAGGCGUUUGGUAAUCGUCUGCAGAGUGCAAUGGCAUAAGGGUGCUUGACUGUGAGACCGACACGUCGAUCAGGUUGGAAACAAGAGCAUAGUGA